rnacentral:rRNA from 1 species
CCUACGGGAGGCAGCAGUGGGGAAUUUUGGACAAUGGGGGGAACCCUGAUCCAGCCAUUCCGCGUGUGCGAUGAAGGCCUUCGGGUUGUAAAGCACUUUUGGCAGGAAAGAAAUCGCACGGAUUAAUACUUUGUGUGGAUGACGGUACCUGCAGAAUAAGCACCGGCUAACUACGUGCCAGCAGCCGCGGUAAUACGUAGGGUGCGAGCGUUAAUCGGAAUUACUGGGCGUAAAGCGUGCGCAGGCGGUUCGGAAAGAGAGGUGUGAAAUCCCAGGGCUUAACCUUGGAACUGCACUUUUAACUCCCGAGCUAGAGUAUGUCAGAGGGGGGCGGAAUUCCGCGUGUAGCAGUGAAAUGCGUAGAUAUGCGGAGGAACACCGAUGGCGAAGGCAGCCCCCUGGGAUGAUACUGACGCUCAUGCACGAAAGCGUGGGGAGCAAACAGGAUUAGAUACCCUGGUAGUCCACGCCCUAAACGAUGUCAACUAGCUGUUGGGGGCUUCGGCCCUUAGUAGCGCAGCUAACGCGUGAAGUUGACCGCCUGGGGAGUACGGUCGCAAGAUUAAAACNCAAAGGAAUUGACGG